AUACGUAGGGGGCAAGCGUUGUCCGGAAUUAUUGGGCGUAAAGAGCUCGUAGGCGGUUCGGUAAGUCGGGUGUGAAAAUCCAGGGCUCAACCCUGGGACGCCACCCGAUACUGCUGUGACUAGAGUCCGGUAGAGGAGCGUGGAAUUCCUGGUGUAGCGGUGAAAUGCGCAGAUAUCAGGAGGAACACCAGCGGCGAAGGCGGCGCUCUGGGCCGGUACUGACGCUGAGGAGCGAAAGCAUGGGGAGCAAACAGGAUUAGAAACCCCGGUAGUCC
rnacentral:rRNA from 1 species